rnacentral:rRNA from 1 species
UCCGUAGGUGAACCUGCGGAAGGAUCAUUACCGAGAUAGGGUCCCUCAGGGCCCGAACCUCCCACCCAUUGUUUACUUACCUUUGUUGCUUUGGCGGGUCGCGGAGCGUCAGCCCCCGUCGACUUUGGUGGACGAGUGCCCGUCAGAAACCCCUCUAAACUCUUUGAAUAAUUGAAGUCUGAGUCUUAAUAAAUUUAAGCAAAACUUUCAACAACGGAUCUCUUGGUUCUGGCAUCGAUGAAGAACGCAGCGAAAUGCGAUAAGUAAUGUGAAUUGCAGAAUUCAGUGAAUCAUCGAAUCUUUGAACGCACAUUGCGCCCUCUGGUAUUCCGGGGGGCAUGCCUGUUCGAGCGUCAUUACACCCCUCGAGCUCAGCUCGGUAUUGGGGGUCGCCCCCCCGGGCGCCCUCGAAAUUUAGCGGUGACUUGGUUGGUCCUCGAGCGAAUAAAACAUUUACACGUUCCGCUUUAGAAGACCCAAGCUUGUCUGCCGGACAAACUACAAAAUCUACGAUUGACCUCGGAUCAGGUAGGGAUACCCGCUGAACUUAAGCAUAUCAAUAAGCGGAGGA